UAUUAUUACCCACAAGGGUAAAGGAACAGUACCACUGUUGGAUAAUUGGAAAGUCCCUGUGUGUCAACCUUUGUGCCUCGUGGCAAAGUAGACUAGCAAACAUGCCCAACCUUUACUCACAUUCGAGAAAACACUCCCAAUAAGAUUGCUUGCUCCAAAAUAGAAGAGGCACCGUCCUCCGAAUCUCGAGAGCCAGACUCCCAACAUGACUACUUUCUCAAAAAUCGAAGAGAGGGUAAAGGAACAGUACCAUUGCUGGAUAAUUGGAAAGUCCCUGUGUGUCAACCUCUGUGCUUCGUGGCAAGGUAGACUAGCAAACAUGCCAAACCUUUACUCACAUUCGAGAAAACACUCCCAACAAGAUUGCUUGCUCCAAAACCGAAGAGGCACCGCCCUCCGAAUCUCGAGAGCCAGACUCCCAACAUGAUUACUUUCUCAAAAAUCGAAGA
rnacentral:lncRNA from 1 species